rnacentral:rRNA from 1 species
AGACCCGAAACCCGGUGAUCUAGCCAUGGGCAGGUUGAAGGUUGGGUAACACUAACUGGAGGACCGAACCGACUAAUGUUGAAAAAUUAGCGGAUGACCUGUGGCUGGGGGUGAAAGGCCAAUCAAACCGGGAGAUAGCUGGUUCUCCCCGAAAGCUAUUUAGGUAGCGCCUCGUGAAUUCAUCUCCGGGGGUAGAGCACUGUUUCGGCUAGGGGGCCAUCCCGGCUUACCAACCCGAUGCAAACUGCGAAUACCGGAGAAUGUUAUCACGGGAGACACACGGCGGGUGCUAACGUCCGUCGUGAAGAGGGAAACAACCCAGACCGCCAGCUAAGGUCCCAAAGUCAUGGUUAAGUGGGAAACGAUGUGGGAAGGCCCAGACAGCCAGGAUGUUGGCUUAGAAGCAGCCAUCAUUUAAAGAAAGCGUAAUAGCUCACUGGUCGAGUCGGCCUGCGCGGAAGAUGUAACGGGGCUAAACCAUGCACCGAAGCUGCGGCAGCGACACUGUGUGUUGUUGGGUAGGGGAGCGUUCUGUAAGCCUGUGAAGGUGUGUCGUGAGGCAUGCUGGAGGUAUCAGAAGUGCGAAUGCUGACAUAAGUAACGAUAAAGCGGGUGAAAAGCCCGCUCGCCGGAAGACCAAGGGUUCCUGUCCAACGUUAAUCGGGGCAGGGUGAGUCGACCCCUAAGGCGAGGCCGAAAGGCGUAGUCGAUGGGAAACGGGUUAAUAUUCCCGUACUUGGUGUUACUGCGAAGGGGGGACGGAGAAGGCUAUGUUGGCCGGGCGACGGUUGUCCCGGUUUAAGCGUGUAGGUGUGUGUUCCAGGUAAAUCCGGUUCACUUUAACACUGAGGCGUGACGACGAGGCACUACGGUGCUGAAGCAACAAAUGCCCUGCUUCCAGGAAAAGCCUCUAAGCAUCAGGUAACAUCAAAUCGUACCCCAAACCGACACAGGUGGUCAGGUAGAGAAUACCAAGGCGCUUGAGAGAACUCGGGUGAAGGAACUAGGCAAAAUGGUGCCGUAACUUCGGGAGAAGGCACGCUGACACGUAGGUGAAGUGAUUUACUCAU